rnacentral:lncRNA from 1 species
AAAAAUAUUUUUGGAUUUAGAAAAGUAUGUUUUGUAUACUUGUUUAGUUGUAAGAAAAAAAAAUAUCAAAAAAUUAUUUUUAUAGAUUUGAAGAAAAUAGAGUGUUUUCGUUUUCCAUCGACUUUCGACAAAAAAUAAAAACUCAAGCUGCAUAAAACUUUUUUCAUUAAUUUUUUUACCGAACCAAACAAAUAUGAAUUUUUUUUCUUUCAACCAAAUAAAAGUUGAUAAAACAUUACUCUUUUUAAUAAUCCAAUUACUAGAAAAUGUAAAACUUUUUUCUACCAAAUUAAUUUUUCCAUGAAAAAUUGAUUUCAUGAUUUUACGUACAACCAAACACCACUUCACUUUCGCUUUUUACUUGAGCAACUUU